rnacentral:rRNA from 1 species
AGUGAACGCUGGCGGUAGGCCUAACACAUGCAAGUCGAACGGCAGCACAGUAAGAGCUUGCUCUUACGGGUGGCGAGUGGCGGACGGGUGAGGAAUACAUCGGAAUCUACUUUUUCGUGGGGGAUAACGUAGGGAAACUUACGCUAAUACCGCAUACGACCUACGGUUGAAAGCAGGGGAUCUUCGGACCUUGCGCGAUUGAAUGAGCCGAUGUCGGAUUAGCUAGUUGGCGGGGUAAAGGCCCACCAAGGCGACGAUCCGUAGCUGGUCUGAGAGGAUGAUCAGCCACACUGGAACUGAGACACGGUCCAGACUCCGACGGGAGGCAGCAGUGGGGAAUAUUGGACAAUGGGCGGAAGCCUGAUCCAGCCAUACCGCGUGGGUGAAGAAGGCCUUCGGGUUGGAAAGCCCUUUUGUUGGGAAAGAAAAGCAGCAGGUUAAUACCCCGCUGUUCUGACGGUACCCAAAGAAUAAGCACCGGCUAACUUCGUG